rnacentral:snRNA from 1 species
GUGCUCGCUUUGACAGCACAUAUACUACGAUUGGAAUGAUACAGAGAAGAUUAGCCUGGUCCCUGAGCAAGGAUGACAUCCAAAUUUGUGAAGCGUUCCAAAUUUUU